UUUACUUGUGAUGGUCAUUCAGGAAUAUUUUACUUUGCACACAGAAGCACAGGGGCAUGUGAUGAUGCCGAGACAAAAUCUUAGGUCAGACAUAAAUAUGAAAACUGCAAGUCUCUAAAGCCUCAUGUAGCUGCUCCUCAGAAACAUAUUUAAGACAUAAUUGGUUUCAAAAACAAGAAAGUUAGUGAACAAACAAAAGAAAAGCAUAUAAAGUAGUAAAACUGCUGCAAAGAUUACCUUGAUGAUAUUAAAGACAUAAGUUCAUGGGAAUAAGUCACUGCCAUAGGCAAAGAGAACUUACUUUCAGGUUCUCUUUGCUACAGUGAGCAGAGAGAAAAAUGAAUCAAUGUUCUUGUGCCAUAAAUGAAGUAUGGAUAAACUUAGACACUUUUUAGCUUCUUUAACCAGGCUUAAAAUGACAAAAAGCAAUAUAUAGUCAAAACAUUACUUCUGGAGAAGCCCUACUCUUGAAUUUAUCUUUGGAAAUUAAGAAUUGCCAAGGAAUAUUGCCAUUUGGGGGUAGGCAUGCAAUAUUGUAA
rnacentral:lncRNA from 1 species